UACGAAGGGGGCUAGCGUUGUUCGGAAUUACUGGGCGUAAAGCGCACGUAGGCGGACUAUUAAGUCAGGGGUGAAAUCCCGGGGCUCAACCCCGGAACUGCCUUUGAUACUGGUAGUCUCGAGUCCGGAAGAGGUGAGAGGAAUUCCGAGUGUAGAGGUGAAAUUCGUAGAUAUUCGGAGGAACACCAGUGGCGAAGGCGGCUCACUGGUCCGGUACUGACGCUGAGGUGCGAAAGCGUGGGGAGCAAACAGG
rnacentral:rRNA from 1 species